rnacentral:rRNA from 1 species
AGAGUUUGAUCCUGGCUCAGAUUGAACGCUGGCGGCGUGCCUAACACAUGCAAGUCGAGCGGUAACAGGUGUAGCAAUACAUGCUGACGAGCGGCGAACGGGUGAGUAAUGCUUCGGAAUCUACCCUAUGGUGGGGAAUAACCAGCCGAAAGGUUGGCUAAUACCGCAUACGUCCUACGGGAGAAAGCAGGGGAUCGUAAGACCUUGCGCCGAUGGAUGAGCCGAAGUCGGAUUAGCUAGUUGGUGAGGUAACGGCUCACCAAGGCGACGAUCCGUAGCUGGUCUGAGAGGACGACCAGCCACACUGGGACUGAGACACGGCCCAGACUCCUACGGGAGGCAGCAGUGGGGAAUAUUGGACAAUGGGGGCAACCCUGAUCCAGCGACGCCGCGUGUGUGAAGAAGGCCUGCGGGUUGUAAAGCACUUUUAGUGGGGAUGAAAUGUGCAGGGUUAAUACCUCUGCAUUUUGACCUAACCCACAGAAAAAGCACCGGCUAACUCUGUGCCAGCAGCCGCGGUAAUACAGAGGGUGCAAGCGUUAAUCGGAAUUACUGGGCGUAAAGCGUGCGUAGACGGUUAUGUAAGUCAGAUGUGAAAGCCCCGGGCUCAACCUGGGAAUUGCAUUUGAGACUGUGUAGCUAGGGUGCGGAAGAGGGAAGCGGAAUUUCCGGUGUAGCGGUGAAAUGCGUAGAUAUCGGAAGGAACACCAGUGGCGAAAGCGGCUUCCUGGUCCAGCACCGACGUUCAGGCACGAAAGCGUGGGGAGCAAACAGGAUUAGAUACCCUAGUAGUCC